rnacentral:pre_miRNA from 1 species
UAGGUAGUUUCUCGUUGUUGAGGCUGAACAUUUCUCUCUCUGCAGCACGAAACUGCCUUCA